GACGAACGCUGGCGGCGUGCCUAAUACAUGCAAGUCGAACGAACCGCGACUGAGUGCUUGCACUUGGUCAAGGUGAGUGGCGAACGGGUGAGUAACACGUGGGUAACCUACCUCAUAGUGGGGGAUAACAGUCGGAAACGACUGCUAAUACCGCAUAGGACAUGGAAUCACAUGAUUCCGCGAGGAAAGGUGGCGCAAGCUAUCGCUAAGAGAUGGACCCGCGGUGCAUUAGCUAGUUGGUAGGGUAAGGGCCUACCAAGGCGAUGAUGCAUAGCCGACCUGAGAGGGUGAUCGGCCACAUUGGGACUGAGACACGGCCCAAACUCCUACGGGAGGCAGCAGUAGGGAAUCUUCCGCAAUGGACGCAAGUCUGACGGAGCAACGCCGCGUGAGUGAAGAAGGUCUUCGGAUCGUAAAGCUCUGUUGUUAGAGAAGAACAGCGCAUAGAGUAAUCUGUUAUGC
rnacentral:rRNA from 1 species